GACGGAAGGUGCAAGCGUUGCUCGGAAUCACUGGGCGUAAAGGGUGCGUAGGCGGCCGUGCAAGUCUGGCGUGAAAGCCCCGGGCUCAGCCCGGGAAGUGCGCUCGAAACUGCGCGGCUCGAGUGCCGGAGGGGAGAGUGGAAUUCCUGGUGUAGCGGUGAAAUGCGUAGAUAUCAGGAGGAAUACCAAUGGCGAAGGCAGCUCGCUGGGACGUGACUGACGCUGAGACGCGAAAGCGUGGGGAGCAAACAGG
rnacentral:rRNA from 1 species